AUUGAACGCUGGCGGCAGGCUUACCACAUGCAAGUCGAACGAGAGGCGGACGGGUGAGUAAUGCUUGGGAAUCUAGCUUAUGGAGGGAGAUAACUACGGAAAACUGUAGCUAAUAGCGCGUACCAUAGGAUGAGCCCACGUGGGAUGAGGUAGUUGGUGAGGUAAAGGCUCACCAAGCCGACGAUCUCUAGCUGGUCUGAGAGGAUGACCAGCCACACUGGGACGGAGACACGGCCCAGACUCCUACGGGAGGCAGCAGUGGGGAAUAUUGCGCAAUGGGGGCAAGCUGACGAAGCCAUGCCGCGUGAGUGAAGAAGGCCUUCGGGUUGUAAAGUUCUUUCGGUAGCGAGGCGUUAACUACAGAAGAAGCACCGGCUAACUCCGUGCCAGCAGCCGCGGUAAUUC
rnacentral:rRNA from 1 species